rnacentral:rRNA from 1 species
UGCGUAGGCGGACUAAUAAGUCAGUGGUGAAAUCUUUCGGCCCAACCGAGAAACUGCCAUUGAUACUGUUAGUCUUGAGUUCGGUUGAGGUAGGCGGAAUGUGUAAUGUAGCGGUGAAAUGCUUAGAUAUUACACAGAACACCAAUUGCGUAGGCAGCUUACUAGACCGACACUGACGCUGAGGCACGAAAGCGUGGGGAGCGAACAGGAUUAGAUACCCUGGUAGUC